AUUGAACGCUGGCGGCAGGCCUAACACAUGCAAGUCGAGCGAGCGGCGGACGGGUGAGUAAUGUAUGGGGACUGCCCGAUAGAGGGGGAUAACUACUGGAAACGGUGGCUACUACCGCAUACUAUCGGAUGACCCAUAUGGGAUUAGCUAGUAGGUGGGGUAAAGGCUCACCUAGGCGACGAUCUCUAGCUGGUCUGAGAGGAUUAUCGGCAACACUGGGACUGGGAAACGGCCCAGACGCGAACGGAGGCAGAAGUGGGGAAUAUUGGACAAGGGGCGAAAGCCUGAUGCGGCCAGGCCGCGUGUAUGAAGAAGGCCUCAGGGUUGUAAAGUACUUUCAGAGGGGAGGCGUACCCGCAGAAGAAGCACCGGCUAACUCCGUGCCAGCAGCCGCGGUAAUAC
rnacentral:rRNA from 1 species